rnacentral:rRNA from 1 species
AAGGACGGCCAUACCACCCUGAACGCGCCCGAUCUCGUCUGAUCUCGGAAGCUAAGCAGGGUCGGGCCUGGUUAGUACUUGGAUGGGAGGAAUAAUUUCUCAAGGAAAUGUGUUUU